UCUGGUUUUCAAAAGCUCAGUGGGCUAUACUUGCAAUGGCAUGGUUAGAAAUAGAGAAGCAAAAUUCUCUAACCCCAAAAAAUCUUGUAACUCUUGUAGAUCUAGUAAUCGUUUUGCUGCAACUUUCUCGCCUCUACAGCGGUUUGGUUUUCAUUUCGCAAGGUUUGGUGGUUGUCGUUGAUCUAUAUGCUCCAUGUAUGGUUCGGAAAUGUCAGCCUGCUCAGGUUUUGGUGGUUAUGGAGAAGAUCUAAAUGCUACUAUCCGCUUUUUUGUAGCAGUUCGUCGCUAGUGACUCGAUUUUUUGAAGUUUAGAGCCUUUGAUCUGAGUUAUCAAAGUUGUAGAUCUUCAAGGUUGAUGUUCUAAAAUCGGCCUUACUUGUACGAUUUAUCCUAGUUGACCCGGUGAUUUAACUCGAUGGAGACGCUUGUUGUUGUUGAUCAGCAUCGAAAUCAAUGCUACAGUAGAAGCAGUCGUCACGGUCCUGCUAGAUUCGGGUCGUUUGGAUCCCCAACUUCCAAAAAUUUCAAAGAGAUCAAUUGCCGAACUUUCCAAUCCGGAGCAGGUAUACUCCCAACCCCUUUGAAGGCUUGUGCUACUCCUGUAAUCGAACGAACAUCUUCUUCUUUUUCUUCUUCACCCAAAACACCAUCACCAUCUGUUAAUUCUCACUUCGAUGAUACCAAAAAUUUGAAGAGAACUGUUAAAAGUAGUGCUAUUCCAAUUCCUAUUAGGAUCAAUUAUGAGUCUAACAAUGAAGGGUCCUUGAAUGAUGAAUUUUCUUUCUCUGAGCUUUGGGCCGGACCUGCAUAUUCAAACUCUCCGCCACCAAGUUCUUUACCCAUUCCCAAAUUUUCAAUGCGACCAAAACGGACAGUUUCUCUUGACUUGCCUGCUUCGCCCUCUGAUAUCAAUUUCCAUCCAAUUGCCAAGUCUGCACCUCCUUCUCCUACCAGGGAACAUAACCAUUCUCGUAGAGAUUUAUUUCACAGUGCUGACUCUGCGACUAUGGCUCUCCGUCGCAUUCUCAAUCUUGAUAACUCUGAGGAUUGAAGUACUAGGAGUGUUGGGCUCCUGUAAAUAAAGAACCUACUGUGCAAACUGGGUUAGUGUUAGAUUGUAUAUAGAGUGAGUGGACAAGUCAGUAGCGCGACUCUUUAAAAUUUCGUUUUGUGGUAUGUUGCCAUGGUGGUACCAGUGUAGUGAUGGCUGGUAGGUUAACAGUCUCCCGAUAUUGUGAUGUGAAACGAUGUGGGUUUCCCCUAUGGACGUUCUUCACAGAAUGUGAUUUGGGUUCUCUGACACGGAUAGCGGCUGGCCUUAAAUAAUUUGGAAGCCAAAGGGGAAUUAAUACAUGGGAAUUUGCUAUUGAAGUGACUGGUUGCCUGCAAUCCUUUGCUGUUGUUUGAAAAAUUGAUUACUCAAUUAUCCAUUUGGGGUUGAAGGGAACUACAAUCUAGAUGAUCGUCUAAGUUAUGAUACAUGUCUUUUAACUAUGGUAGUCUCCUCACAGUCACAGGAUAGUUGAUAUUCACUUCCUUCAUUCUAACUUAGAUGUAGGCUUUUCGUUUCCAAUACUUUGUAUAUACUGUAGAAUUCUCACUUGAUUAGUCAUACAACAUCUGUAGGAUUUUAUUUUAUUCUAGUCAUCUUUAUUUCCUUGAUCUCAAAUCGGAGUGUUCUCCCAUUUUAUCAUUCCAUCUUAGAUUUUUGUCUUUCUUUGAUACUUUUCGUUCAGUGUUGCCUGAAAUGGCUACCCAGAUGAUUUUUCGGUUUCUUCAACUCUCUUGCUCGGUCCAUUGUUGCCUGAAUUGGCUGCUCCAUCUCUUCCUUUUCUUGUUAUUCUCAUCAGUAUUUCUUCUAUUUUACUUUUCUUUAUUUAGGAUUUAGUAUCUAACCUGAAGACAUUCGCUCUGCAAGAGCGUUUGUGUUCCCCUUCACCAACUUUUCUGUUUUUAAGAGGGAAAGGUGGGAAGGGGAAGUGAAAGUAUUUGUUCCCUGCUUCUGCUCUUUAAUGUGUAGGAUUAAUCCGUGUUGCACUGUCCUGUUGUAAGCCCCAUUAGUUUUUGUCGCUGUGAGUGGAUAAUGCCACAUUUGUCAUAGUCUUCACGAGGUUCAUCGACCCUGGAGUUCGUUGAUCAUACCAAGCUGUUCAGAAGUUCUGAAAUAAGGAGCCAGUGGAAGAAUAUAUUUCGGGAGGCUGUUUUAUGCUAAAAAGAUGUGUUUGUGAUGGGUUUAGUGUUUGUGUUUUCUGUUAUUUUGUUUUCUUACAAGUAAGUCCUUUGUGGAACUUAUGAAGUUUGUGCUUUGUGUGCAAUAAGUCGCGUAUUAUCUUUGCUUGGCUUUUCUGUUUUGUGUACCCAGUCUCUGUUGAACUAUUGGAGUUAAUAUGUAGUGUCAUGUUACAAUUUAUAGGCUGCAGUUUCAGUUCUUCAA